GCAGUGUUUACAUUGCCCCCUAGGGACACCUCUAGUGGCCACUCCUCAGAUGGCCACUGGAUGUGCUUCCUGGGGCAGUGCCAUUCAGUGUCUCCACCCAGGGCCAGAUUAAGAGCCCAGUGGGCCUGGUCCUGACAAUUAUGAUAAUUACAGAAUCUUAUCGAUCAAAAACACUAAAACAGUCAUACCUCCCAAGUGUCAUGUAUCUGAUGGAGAUGGUGUUGGAGGGAAACUCAAAGGAUGCAGCUAUCAGAAAAACACAUCCAUUAUACUAAUCUCUCUCUAAUUUAUGCUUUCAUCUUUCAAGUAAAUCCAUACCUCCUAACAGCAGUGUCCAGUGAAGAAGGAAGUUAAUGGGCGGGGUGGUGGGCCAGUGACGCAAAUCACGUGACCAGAACUGCGAAAAGGGGCGAACAUGCCCAAGAAAGGGGGCAUGUCUGUCCAAAGAAUUGGAAAGCCAGCUUGGCAUCAGUGUCCCUAUGUAUCACAGUGUCAGUGUCCCCAUGUCGCCCAGUCUCCCAGUGUCCUCAUUUCUCCCAGUGUCCCCAUGUCUUGGUGUGUCCCGUGUCACUAGGCUACUAGGGGACACUGAGAGACAUGGGGAUACUGAGAGACCUGGGGACACAGAGACCCAGGGGCACAGAGACAUGGGGAUACAGAGACAUGGGGACACAGGGGCACUUGUGAAUACAGACAUAGGGACACAGACAUUUGGGGACACUGGGAGAAAUGGAGACACAGACACUAGGGACACACCGACACUGAGAGACAUGGGAACACUAAGGACACUGAGAGACAUGGGAACACAGACACUGGGAGACAUGGGGAAACUGGGAGACAUGGGGACACUGGGAGACUAGGGACACUCGCUGGGAGGCAUGGGGACACAGACAUUUGGGGACACUGGGAGACAUAGAGGCACUUGUGGACAUAGACAUGGGGACACUGGGAGACAGACAUUUGGGGACACAGACACUGGCUGGGAGACAUGGGGACACAGACAUUUGGGGACACUGAGAGACAUGGGGACACUGGGAGACUAGGGAACACUGUGUCCCUAGUGACUCCGUGUCCCAAUGUGUCUCCCAAUGUCCCUAUGUCUCACAGCGUCCCCAUGUGUCUCAGCGACCCCAGGUCUCCAAGUGUCCCCUAGUGUCUCAGUGUCCCCAUGUCUCCCUGCUGCCUUUCCCCUCAUCCAUCACUUCUCUGAGCUGAAGGCUGUCUCUGCAGGCUGGGAGCUGCUGUCUCCCAGCGGAUCAGUGAGCCUACUGCCUGGUGCUGGUAUUGCAGAGUAAUCUCAGUUUAUCUGCAUUUGUAUUGCCGGUAUUACUACAAUACCGGCAUGGCCAGUCAGCCUCAAA